rnacentral:lncRNA from 1 species
CAAAAAGCCAAACACUAAGUAUCAGCAUGAGAGUUCAGCCAGGUAUGACUUUAUCACUCUGAUUUUGCGUAUGUCCUGUUGACACGUCACAGCAUGACAACACACACUGAGGCAAGUUGUUUGUUUAGCCAGGGCCUUUCUAGCCAUCCUUAUAUGUAUGUUUCCCUUCGUAAACCCCGUUGAGCCUUAGCCAUUUUAUUCAUCGUAAACCCCAUGUUAACUUUUAAGCAUUAUUCAUCAU